ensembl:snRNA U6 U6 spliceosomal RNA
GUGUUCACUUCAGCAGCACAUACACUAAAACUGGAAUGAUAAAAAGAGAUUAGUAUGGCCCUGCACAAAGAUGACAAUGCAAAUUUGUGAAGUGUUUCAUAUUUUU